CACUCCCACAUCAUGCAUACAACACUAGUUUGGAUAAUACAGCAAAUACGCAUAAAAGACGCUCAUUAACUUGGUAGCCAAACGGAACCGAGGAACGCCCCUUUCUGACUACUACGGUGCCGGACUGCGCCUUCCGUGCUUGCACUACCCUGACACACACCGCCCUCCAGCGGACAAAUGGAAGAACUACAUCUUGUGAGUCCUGUGCUCACUUGCUACAAGAGUCAUCGUUUCGAAGAUAUGAUUGUGCCCGUGACCGGAGGGGUCAACUACUCACACGUGAUCUAAUGGAAAAGAGUCCAAAUCCUCUGCUGAGACCUUCUUCUGUUGCAUCAGGUAGUAAAUUUCCCCUGAAAUGACACAAAAUAUCUCUCAGUACAUGUGCAUCUAAAAUAGACAAUUAUUAUUUUUUUCCAACUAUUAUCUACAAUCUACUGUGAGUUCAGAGAAGGAAAAGGGGCGGGGUGGUAUUUGUCAGCAUGACCUCUGCUGAGCGUGUAAAAGAUAAGGAGUAUUGAACCUGAGGUGAGGACACAGUCCACGUCCCGGCUCUCCAGCAGACUGUUGUAAAACUCUUCUCGGACAGCCUCCAGUUUUUUGUCAAAGCAAGGCGCCACUACUAUAUGGUACAAUUUGUCCGCAUUUAGUUUCUGUUUAAAGAAAGGUGGGGGGGAAAAAAGAGAAAACAUUUUGAUAUUUUGUUGAAUCAGGCUUUGUGGCAACCUCAAUUGCACUCACUUGCUGUUUGGAGAAGUAAUCUUUGACUAGACAUCCCAUAAUUUGCUGCGGAGACCUUGCUGUGCAAAUGUGAGGUGUGACCAAACUCCCGAGGAUACGCUCGGAAUAGCGAAUCCAACCUGUAGAUCAGUACAAACGUGCAAUUAUUUAUUAUUAUUCUUCCAUAGUUCCAGACUUUUGCUGUCUAAAUUUUGCACAGGGGAAUGAAUGGAUGGAGCACUGUGAGAAUGUUCCAACUUGUUUAUUUUCACUUUUUGCUGAAGAAGGGAGUGGUGGAACAUAAGCGCUCUAUCUAUCUAUCACCCCUGCACUGCACUCUUAUCUGUAUUGCUAAAAAAAAGAAAUGGUGGGCGUUAAAACUCACUCUGAUGUUCCCAGCAGACCUUCACAUUACAUUUAGGUCUGCCGGGUCGGAAUGGAAUUUUUAUCACCAGGUGGCCAUGAGUUCAAAACAUGCAACUUUUGGUGCAUAAGCACAAACAACCGUCGUUUUUUUUUUUUUUUGAUUACCUGGGCAGGAGGAGGUGAACAUGGGCAAAGCAUGGGAGUCAUGGUGCCUCCUGUGAUACCUCUGAAUGAACUCUUUUUGACUCUCUAUGAUGCUAAAUCCUGCUGCCAGAGUGGUAUCAAAGACAAACUGCACACCUAGCAUGGAAAAGAGAUAGCAAGUUGGCUAAAACACACACACACACCAUUGGCUCUCUGUUUUUAUGGAAGCGCAAGUAAGAAGACAAGUAACAUCUACUUCUACAUAAAGUUUGAAUACAAUUAAAAUGCACAUUGUGGGUAUAUUUCCAAAUGUCGAGUUAGCAAUCAGCUUACCAAGGCUCUUGAGAAAACCGCAAAGUUUACCGGCGGCCUCAACGAUGUCCACGCCAAACUUGACGGCGAAAAAAGGUAGCGAUUGUGGACACACUGACGCUACCAGAACUCUGUGGUUUGUCACGUCACACUUCUGAUGAGGAAAAAGAUAGGUCUUAACCAAAAUGCAAGAAAAAUGCAAAAGCUUACAGAGGUGUGUGUGUACCUCAUUGAGAGCCAGAACCCGCUCUAUCUCCAUCAAGUUCUGUUGAGAGAUCUUCAGGCUCUCCUCCUCAGACAUACAGCCAUCGCAGGAUAAACAAGCACUCAGCAACAACUGUAAGCUCUUAUUCUCCUGAUGGAAUGAAGACAAAAGUCUUUUUUUUUUUAAUCAUCUUCAACAGCCCAGCGUGUUUUCAAGUACUUAGAAAUAAGACUCUACCUGUCCAUUGACUUGCUCUCCAUUUUGGUGUGAGCUGACAUCGCCAUCGCUCUGUUUCUUGUUGCACUGUGUGUCGAGCGACCGAUCAAGGUUUAGAAAAUAAUCAAUGAUCUACUUUUAUUCAUGUACAAGAGAAAUCCAAGUGAAAUCACCUGCUUGGUGCAGUUUUCACACUUUUCCUUGCGUUUCCCAAUGCUGAGCUCAGACAUUUUGUUCAUCAGUUACCUAGAAAUGGAGGGCAGUAAAUUUAGAUGGCAGCACUUUCCGAGAAAUAUAAAAGUCCCACGUAAAAUGUUCCCAGAAUAAUGUAAAUUACAUGAAGAAUUUCCAUAAUGUUUAACAAGCAGCCUGCUUAUCAUAAACAUUCCAGAAGUACCCUGAAAUUAACAUGUUAAAUGACUCAUUACAUACAUAUUACACAAAUAUAAUCAAGUCAAAAACAAAUGUAUAUGAAGAUCAACAGACUUAGAGGAGAAUGAAGUAUACUGCACAAUACUCCCGAAUUUACAUACAGUAUAUUUUUUUUGGUCAUUUAUUAAAAUGAUUGGAGAGGAGGACAUUGAGAUUUAAGAAACUUACCUCGGGUUAUUUUAUGGAAAAGGUCGAGUUCAGACUUUGUUAAAAGCACCAGAAAACGACGAAGAGACGCAUAGCACCACCGCUGAGGGCUUGGGGAGGCGGUUAGGGCGGGUCAGUAUAUAAGCAAUCACCGGCCGGCGUUACCCGUGUAGUACUCAGGCGUUAUUUUAUAAUAAAUGUUUUUAAAGGAAUGGAAAUUUCUCAAUCCGAAGCCAUUCAUAUCUAUUGACA